AUCUAGCUGAUGAAUCGUAAAUAGGACGAAACAUUUAUCCUGGAU
rfam:Schistosoma margrebowiei strain Zambia genome assembly, scaffold: SMRZ_contig0000007